AACGAACGCUGGCGGCAUGCCUAACACAUGCAAGUCGAACGAGACCUUCGGGUCUAGUGGCGCACGGGUGCGUAACGCGUGGGAACCUGCCCUUAGGUUCGGAAUAACUCCCCGAAAGGGGUGCUAAUACCGGAUAAUGUCUUCGGACCAAAGAUUUAUCGCCUUUGGAUGGGCCCGCGUUGGAUUAGCUAGUUGGUAGGGUAAAAGCCUACCAAGGCGACGAUCCAUAGCUGGUCUGAGAGGAUGAUCAGCCACACUGGGACUGAGACACGGCCCAGACUCCUACGGGAGGCAGCCGUGGGGAAUAUUGGACAAUGGGAGAAAGCCUGAUCCAGCAAUGCCGCGUGAGUGAUGAAGGCCUUAGGGUUGUAAAGCUCUUUUACCCGGGAUGAUAAUGACAGUACCGGGAGAAUAAGCUCCGGCUAACUCCGUG
rnacentral:rRNA from 1 species